rnacentral:rRNA from 1 species
AUUGAACGCUGGCGGCAUGCUUUACACAUGCAAGUCGAACGGUAACAGGCCGCAAGGUGCUGACGAGUGGCGAACGGGUGAGUAAUGCAUCGGAACGUGCCCAGUCGUGGGGGAUAACUGCUCGAAAGAGCAGCUAAUACCGCAUACGAUCUAUGGAUGAAAGCGGGGGACCGUAAGGCCUCGCGCGAUUGGAGCGGCAGAUGUCAGAUUAGGUAGUUGGUGGGGUAAAGGCUCACCAAGCCAACGAUCUGUAGCUGGUCUGAGAGGACGACCAGCCACACUGGGACUGAGACACGGCCCAGACUCCUACGGGAGGCAGCAGUGGGGAAUUUUGGACAAUGGGGGCAACCCUGAUCCAGCAAUGCCGCGUGCAGGAAGAAGGCCUUCGGGUUGUAAACUGCUCUUGUACGGAACGAAACGGUCUGGGUUAAUACCCUGGGCUAAUGACGGUACCGCAAGAAUAAGCACCGGCUAACUACGUGCCAGCCGCCGCUGUAAUAC